UUGAGACAGGAUGACGGGGAGCUCUACAAGCAGUGCACAUUAUAUUUGAGUUUUUUAACUUCUUCACAGAGUGUCCUCUCUAAGCAAGCGAGCAAAGAAAUUGUGCAAAAGAGUCAUGCCUUGUCGUUUGACAAAAGUCAACCCACACCUCGUGAAUGCUUGGCUGUUCUUGAUAAAGGUGAAGGUGACUUAGUGAAAAUCAUGAAUCAACUUGAUGACAGUUCUUCUUCCUCCCUGAGUAGGACUGAGUGCAUAUUUGUGCUAUACUAUCUUGAGGCAAUUGUCAUACUAAGACACUGCCAACAGCCAUGUGUGGUGCAGAGCAUGAAGGUCAAGGAAUGGCUUGAACGGAAACACGCAGAUGAUGAUUCAAUCGUUUUUGUAAAGGACCACAAGACGGCUGCACAUUUUGUGGUCUCAAUUGUCCUGUCCAAGAAGGAGGAGGCGUGGUUUGAGAAAUAUUACACCAAAGUGCGGCCACAGCUCCUUGCUGGCGAAAGGAAACCUCCAGCAAAAGUGCAACGUCCCCCAGGUGAGCAGCCAGGUUGUACGGAGGGUAUUUGAGACAGCAGCUAACCGCCUGGAUGACCCUCAGAAGAAAGCAGUUUCUGACUACCUGGGCCAUUCUGGCACAACAGCUGACAGACAUUACAGGAUGAAAUCUCUUGAAUCCAUUGUGAUAGCUGCUGGUCUGCUGAAGAAAUUACAGAGGCAGAAGAAGUCAAGUGCUGGGCCUUCCGGAGAAGGGACCCGUCAAGAGGCUCUUGGAGAAGGGACCAGCCCUCAGUCAGUGGAGUCUUCCAGCCAUGGUGACCAUUGUGCUCUCCC